rnacentral:tRNA from 1 species
GCCUGAGUAGCUCAGCCUGGUUAGAGCGCUACUUUUGUAAAGUAGAUGUCGUCGGGUUCAAAUCCCACCUCAGGCUCCA